GGGGGAUUAUCUUAGUGGUAGAGUGUUUGCUUCGCAUGCAAGUGGCCCGGGUUCGAUUCCUGGAUCCUCCA
rnacentral:tRNA from 3 species